UACAGAGGGGGCAAGCGUUGUUCGGAAUUACUGGGCGUAAAGGGCGCGUAGGCGGCCUGUUAAGUCGAACGUGAAAUCCCCGGGCUCAACCCGGGAACUGCGUCCGAUACUGGCAGGCUUGAAUUCGGGAGAGGGAUGCGGAAUUCCAGGUGUAGCGGUGAAAUGCGUAGAUAUCUGGAGGAACACCGGUGGCGAAGGCGGCAUCCUGGACCGAGAUUGACGCUGAGGCACGAAGGUCAGGGGAGCAAACGGG
rnacentral:rRNA from 1 species